rnacentral:rRNA from 1 species
AUACGUAGGGGGCAAGCGUUAUCCGGAUUUACUGGGUGUAAAGGGAGCGUAGACGGUAAAGCAAGUCUGAAGUGAAAGCUCGGGGCUCAACCCCGGAACUGCUUUGGAAACUGUUUUACUGGAGUGCAGGAGAGGUAAGCGGAAUUUCUAGUGUAGCGGUGAAAUGCGUAGAUAUUAGGAGGAACACCAGAGGCGAAGGCGGCUUACUGGACUGUAACUGACGUUGAGGCUCGAAGGCGUGGGGAGCAAACAGGAUUAGAUACCCUGGUAGUCCACGCGGUAAACGAUGAUCACUAGGUGUCGGCGGCCAUAGGCGGUCGGUGCCGCAGCAAACGCAAUGAGUGAUCCACCUGGGGAGUACGUUCGCAAGAAUGAAACUCAAAUGAAUUGACGGGG